UUAAGCGACUAAGCGUACACGGUGGAUGCCCUGGCAGUCAGAGGCGAUGAAGGACGUGCUAAUCUGCGAAAAGCGUCGGUAAGGUGAUAUGAACCGUUACAGCCGGCGAUGUCCGAAUGGGGAAACCCAGUGCAAUUCGUUGCACUAUCGUUAACUGAAUACAUAGGUUAACGAGGCGAACCGGGGGAACUGAAACAUCUAAGUACCCCGAGGAAAAGAAAUCAACCGAGAUUCCCCCAGUAGCGGCGAGCGAACGGGGAGCAGCCCAGAGUCUGAAUCAGCUUGUGUGUUAGUGGAACGGUCUGGAAAGUCCGACGGUACAGGGUGAUAGUCCCGUACACCAAAAUGCACAGGCUGUGAACUCGAAGAGUAGGGCGGGACACGUGGUAUCCUGUCUGAAUAUGGGGGGACCAUCCUCCAAGGCUAAAUACUCCUGACUGACCGAUAGUGAACCAGUACCGUGAGGGAAAGGCGAAAAGAACCCCGGCGAGGGGAGUGAAAAAGAACCUGAAACCGUGUACGUACAAGCAGUGGGAGCACCUUCGGGUGUGACUGCGUACCUUUUGUAUAAUGGGUCAGCGACUUAUAUUCUGUAGCAAGGUUAACCGUAUAGGGGAGCCGCAGGGAAACCGAGUCUUAACUGGGCGUUAAGUUGCAGGGUAUAGACCCGAAACCCGGUGAUCUAGCCAUGGGCAGGUUGAAGGUUGGGUAACACUAACUGGAGGACCGAACCGACUAAUGUUGAAAAAUUAGCGGAUGACUUGUGGCUGGGGGUGAAAGGCCAAUCAAACCGGGAGAUAGCUGGUUCUCCCCGAAAGCUAUUUAGGUAGCGCCUCGUGAACUCAUCUUCGGGGGUAGAGCACUGUUUCGGCUAGGGGGUCAUCCCGACUUACCAACCCGAUGCAAACUACGAAUACCGAAGAAUGUUAUCACGGGAGACACACGGCGGGUGCUAACGUCCGUCGUGAAGAGGGAAACAACCCAGACCGCCAGCUAAGGUCCCAAAGUCAUGGUUAAGUGGGAAACGAUGUGGGAAGGCACAGACAGCCAGGAUGUUGGCUUAGAAGCAGCCAUCAUUUAAAGAAAGCGUAAUAGCUCACUGGUCGAGUCGGCCUGCGCGGAAGAUGUAACGGGGCUAAACCAUGCACCGAAGCUGCGGCAGCGACACUAUGUGUUGUUGGGUAGGGGAGCGUUCUGUAAGCCUGCGAAGGUGUGCUGUGAGGCAUGCUGGAGGUAUCAGAAGUGCGAAUGCUGACAUAAGUAACGAUAAAGCGGGUGAAAAGCCCGCUCGCCGGAAGACCAAGGGUUCCUGUCCAACGUUAAUCGGGGCAGGGUGAGUCGACCCCUAAGGCGAGGCCGAAAGGCGUAGUCGAUGGGAAACAGGUUAAUAUUCCUGUACUUGGUGUUACUGCGAAGGGGGGACGGAGAAGGCUAUGUUAGCCGGGCGACGGUUGUCCCGGUUUAAGCAUGUAGGCUGGUUGUCCAGGCAAAUCCGGAUAAUCAAGGCUGAGGUGUGAUGACGAGGCACUACGGUGCUGAAGUAACAAAUGCCCUGCUUCCAGGAAAAGCCUCUAAGCAUCAGGUAACAUCAAAUCGUACCCCAAACCGACACAGGUGGUCAGGUAGAGAAUACCAAGGCGCUUGAGAGAACUCGGGUGAAGGAACUAGGCAAAAUGGUGCCGUAACUUCGGGAGAAGGCACGCUGGUGUGUAGGUGAAGUCCCUGCGGAUGGAGCUGAGACCAGUCGAAGAUACCAGCUGGCUGCAACUGUUUAUUAAAAACACAGCACUGUGCAAACACGAAAGUGGACGUAUACGGUGUGACGCCUGCCCGGUGCCGGAAGGUUAAUUGAUGGGGUUAUCCGUAAGGAGAAGCUCUUGAUCGAAGCCCCGGUAAACGGCGGCCGUAACUAUAACGGUCCUAAGGUAGCGAAAUUCCUUGUCGGGUAAGUUCCGACCUGCACGAAUGGCGUAAUGAUGGCCAGGCUGUCUCCACCCGAGACUCAGUGAAAUUGAACUCGCUGUGAAGAUGCAGUGUACCCGCGGCAAGACGGAAAGACCCCGUGAACCUUUACUAUAGCUUGACACUGAACAUUGAGCCUUGAUGUGUAGGAUAGGUGGGAGGCUUUGAAGCGUGGACGCCAGUCUGCGUGGAGCCAACCUUGAAAUACCACCCUUUAAUGUUUGAUGUUCUAACGUUGGCCCCUGACCGGGGUUGCGGACAGUGUCUGGUGGGUAGUUUGACUGGGGCGGUCUCCUCCCAAAGCGUAACGGAGGAGCACGAAGGUUAGCUAAUCCUGGUCGGACAUCAGGAGGUUAGUGCAAUGGCAUAAGCUAGCUUGACUGCGAGCGUGACGGCGCGAGCAGGUGCGAAAGCAGGUCAUAGUGAUCCGGUGGUUCUGAAUGGAAGGGCCAUCGCUCAACGGAUAAAAGGUACUCCGGGGAUAACAGGCUGAUACCGCCCAAGAGUUCAUAUCGACGGCGGUGUUUGGCACCUCGAUGUCGGCUCAUCACAUCCUGGGGCUGAAGUAGGUCCCAAGGGUAUGGCUGUUCGCCAUUUAAAGUGGUACGCGAGCUGGGUUUAGAACGUCGUGAGACAGUUCGGUCCCUAUCUGCCGUGGGCGCUGGAGAAUUGAGGGGGGCUGCUCCUAGUACGAGAGGACCGGAGUGGACGCAUCACUGGUGUUCGGGUUGUCAUGCCAAUGGCACUGCCCGGUAGCUAAAUGCGGAAGAGAUAAGUGCUGAAAGCAUCUAAGCACGAAACUUGCCCCGAGAUGAGUUCUCCCUGAGACUAUAAGUCUCCUGAAGGAACGUUAAAGACGAUGACGUUGAUAGGCCGGGUGUGUAAGCGCAGCGAUGCGUUGAGCUAACCGGUACUAAUGAACCGUGAGGCUUAACCUU
rnacentral:rRNA from 1 species